rnacentral:rRNA from 1 species
GUCAUCCAACUUUGUUGGAGGCUAACGCAGGGAACUGAAACAUCUUAGUACCUGCAGGAAAAGAAAAUAAAUAAUGAUUCCCCUAGUAGUGGCGAGCGAACGGGGAUUAGCCCAAACCACCCAUGUUACGGCAUGUGUGGGGUUGUAGGACCACGCUCUCGCAAGACAGUUAUUGAGAAGAAACGACUGGAAAGUCGUGCCAUAGACGGUGAUAGCCCGGUAUUCUAAGGUAACCGAAGCGUAGUGGUAUCCUGAGUAGCGCGGAGCACGAGGAAUUCUGCGUGAACCAGCCGGGACCAUCCGGUAAGGCUAAAUACUCCCGAGAGACCGAUAGCGAACCAGUACUGUGAAGGAAAGGUGAAAAGCACUUCGAAUAGAAGAGUGAAAUAGUCCCUGAAACCAUGCGCCUACAAGCGGUCGGAGCAGCGUAAGCUGUGACGGCGUGCCUUUUGCAUAAUGAACCUACGAGUUACUUUUUCCGGCAAGGUUAAGCAUCUUGAGAUGUGGAUCCGAAGCGAAAGCGAGUCUGAACAGGGCGGAUAGUCGGAAGGAGUAGACGCGAAACCAAGUGAUCUACCCUUGGGCAGGUUGAAGGUUAGGUAACACUAACUGGAGGACCGAACCGAUAAGCGUUGAAAAGCUUCCGGAUGACCUGAGGGUGGGGGUGAAAGGCUAAUCAAACUUGGAGAUAGCUCGUACUCCCCGAAAUGCAUUUAGGUGCAGCCUUGAGAGUUACUAAUGUGAGGUAGAGCGACUGAUAAGAUGCGAGGGCUUCACCGCCUAUCAAGUCUUGAUAAACUCCGAAUGCGCAUUAGUUCUAUCUCAGGAGUGAGGGCAUGGGUGCUAAGGUCCAUGUCCUAAAGGAGAAGAAUCCAGACCAUCAGCUAAGGUCCCCAAAUAAACACUAAGUUGAACUAACGAAGUCAGAUUGCUAAGACAGCUAGGAUGUUGGCUUGGAAGCAGCCAUUCAUUUAAAGAGUGCGUAACAGCUCACUAGUCGAGGAGUUUGGCGUGGAUAAUAAUCGGGCAUAAGUGUUUUACCGAAGCUAUGGGAUCCUAACGGAUCGGUAGGGGAGCAUUCCACUCAGCGUUGAAGGCUAAGCGUGAGCUUUACUGGAGCGUGUGGAAAAGCAAAUGUAGGUAUAAGUAACGAUAAAGGGGGUGAGAAACCCCCUCGCCGCAAGACUAAGGUUUCCUGAUCAACGCUAAUCGGAUCAGGGUUAGUCGGGUCCUAAGGCUCAGCCGAACGGUGAGGCCGAUGGCAGAACAGGUUAAUAUUCCUGUACUACCUGUAGGAGUGAUGUGGAGACGGAGGAGUGACAACGCCGCGGACUGACGGAAUAGUCCGUUAAAGGGUGUAGAUGUUGAUUAUCCCAGGCAAAUCCGGGAUAAGAGUCGAACCUGACAGUAUACCAAUUUCCUCGGAAAACGGUAAUAGUGCGUGUAAACAUACUCCCAAGAAAAUCCGCUAAACUUAAUCUUACAGGUACCCGUACCGUAAACGGACACACGUAGUCGGGUUGAAUAUACUCAGGCGCUUGAGUGAAUCACGGUUAAGGAACUAGGCAAAUUGACCCUGUAACUUCGGGAUAAAGGGUCCCUACCCGGUGACGGGAGGGCGCAGAGAAUAGGUCCAGGCAACUGUUUAACAAAAACACAGGGCUGUGCAAAAUUGAAAGAUCACGUAUACAGCCUGACACCUGCCCGGUGCUGGAAGGUUAAGAGGAGAUGUCAUCGCAAGAGAAGCAUUGAAUUGAAGCCCCAGUAAACGGCGGCCGUAACUAUAACGGUCCUAAGGUAGCGAAAUUCCUUGUCGGGUAAGUUCCGACCUGCACGAAUGGUGUAAUGAUCUGGACACUGUCUCAACCGUGAGCUCAGUGAAAUUGUAGUAUCGGUGAAGAUGCCGAUUACCCGCGAUGGGACGAAAAGACCCCGUGAACCUUUACUAUAGCUUAACAUUGAAUUUGGGUAAUUGAUGUGUAGGAUAGGCCGGAGACUUUGAAGCAGGUACGCCAG